rnacentral:misc_RNA from 1 species
AGAUAAAAUUAUUAAAACUAAAAUUAUAAAUAAAAUUUAUAAAAUAUAAAAAAUUUUUUGCCUUUUCUUUGUCAUUAGUCUUUCUAUAUUCAAUUCUACUUAAGUACCAAACAAAAAAAUGAUGAGAUAAAGGAGGACGAUGCCUUCUCAAAAUACAAUGAGAGACAAAACAGAGUAGGGACUGACUGUCUUCUCAUGAAGAGAUCUA